rnacentral:tRNA from 1 species
CGCGAGCUAGUGAAGUGGCAUCACGCAAGCCCCCUAAGCUUGUAUCGGCGGUUCGAUUCCGUCGCUCGCAACCA